GUCGUGUCGGGUAGGGAGUCAAGCGAGGGUCUCGGAGUGUUUACAUCAGCAGCAGCGAGAGGCAGGAAGGUGCAAAUCGCUUCAGUGCACGUUGUCAUCAUGUCUAGCAAGAAUAAGGUGCCGGACAGGUGGGAGAAGUACACCAGCAUGGGCCGCAUCAUCCCAGGCACCCGCUUCAUCACUUUCAAGGUUCCUCUGCGGCAGCAUAAUAGAAACAAGGAAGGAAGAAGGAAGGAUGAGAAAAGGAAGAGAUAGGUGAUGAAGAGAAGGAUGGAGAAGGAAAGGGGAGAAAAGAUGGAUGAUGAAGAGAAGGAAGAAUGGACAGCGGGAGGGAAGGAAAGAAGGAAAGAAUGAAGUGAUAGAAGAAAUGAAGGAAAAGAGAAGAAAAUGGAAGAAAAUGGAAAUAGAAUAGGAAAUGUGGUUUAUAUAUUUACUUAGUUAUUUGAAUAUUUAGUUAUUUAUGAAUCGGGUCUCUCUCUCUCUCUCUCUCUCUCUCUCUCUCUCUCUCUCUCUCUCUCUCUCUCUCUCUCUCUCUCUCUCUCUCUCAUUUUCGCUGACGAUGUGCAGACGUGCUGUCGCCAAAGUUAUUUUCGUUUUAUUGCUUUUUUAUUAGUUUCGUGUGU